ACGGAGGGGGCUAGCGUUGUUCGGAUUUACUGGGCGUAAAGGGCGCGUAGGCGGAUGUUCGCGUCAGAGGUGAAAGCCCCGGGCUCAACCUGGGAACUGCCUUUGAAACGGGACAUCUUGAGUUCGGGAGAGGGUAGCGGAAUUCCCAGUGUAGAGGUGAAAUUCGUAGAUAUUGGGAAGAACACCGGUGGCGAAGGCGGCUGCCUGGCCCGAUACUGACGCUGAGGCGCGAAAGCGUGGGGAGCAAACAGGAUUAGAAACCCCCGUAGUCC
rnacentral:rRNA from 1 species